CUAUGCGCCUUGCCAGCCCGCUCAGGUGUGCCAGCCGCCGCGGUAAUACGGAGGAUGCGAGCGUUAUCCGGAUUUAUUGGGUUUAAAGGGUGCGUAGGCGGUCCGUUAAGUCAGCGGUAAAAUUGCGGGGCUCAACCCCGUCGAGCCGUUGAAACUGUCAGACUUGAGUUGGCGAGAAGUACGCGGAAUGCGCGGUGUAGCGGUGAAAUGCAUAGAUAUCGCGCAGAACUCCGAUUGCGAAGGCAGCGUACCGGCGCCACACUGACGCUGAGGCACGAAAGCGUGGGGAGCGAACAGG
rnacentral:rRNA from 1 species